GACAGGCCUUUGGGGUAUAUCUUUUGUAUCUGACCAACUCUGUAUCUGAAUCUCUCUCUCUGCUUCCUGAUCAUCAUGGGAGCCACUUCCCUCCGCCCCACUCUUCUGCCAUGAAGUUCUGCCUCACUGAGCCCUGAGGAAUGGGGCCUGCUGUCUGUGGACCUAGACCUCUGGUACCAGGAGCUCCCAAAUGAACUUUCCCUCCUCUACAAUUGCUCUUUUCAGGUCUUUGAAUCUCAGCAGUGAAAAAGCUGACUAAAAUGUCCUCCCACCUCUUUCUCCCCUCCCAUCUCUCUUCAAGGGAAGCCUAGGGACUCAUUGCCUUGCCUCUCUCUCAUCCUAUGACCUCCAAGAUGAGUCCUACAUUCUGCCCCCUCCACGUGCAAGCAGAUAACCCCAAGCGCCAGCAUCUUCAGUGGAAGAAGAGAUGGAAGCCAGAGACAGCAUAGAAUCCCUGUCCGUUUCUCACCCAGGGUCCACUGCUUUUGUGAGCGUCGGGGAACCAUUUCCUCUUUCCAGAAGGCUCAGCUUCACCCAUCUAUCAAGUAGAAGGAAGCACACGGUCCCUCGAGUCCCCAGAUGAGCCACCAGAGAUUGACUCUGCUGCCCAGAUGUCCUUGGAGGGUCCCACGCACGGCAGGCCAGCAGACCCCCGGCCAGCCUGGGAGUGUGACUGAAACCCCCCAGUCUCAUCAGGUGCCCCCAGACCCUGAGCUGGAACAGGGCCAGACCCCAUGUGCAGGCUUCCCAGCCUGCCUGCUGGCCCCACCCGGUCCCCUUCAAGUCUUCACAAGCAACAUUUCUGAGACGGUGGGGUGUGUGGUGGAGACUGGGGGGGGGGUUUGCUUCUGAUGCUGCACUUGACCCGCAGCCAGAUGUUGGUGGCUCCCCCUCCGUGGCAGUCCUCUCACCCAGCCGACACCCUCACCCCAGCCUCCCUCCUGGGGAGAAUCUGGCCGAGAGUGCUCCCAAAACCCAGCAGCACUCCGUGAUGUCACCAGACAGAGGCUCCAUCUGGCACUCGGCUCUGCAGGCUGGGGAGGAGACCAAGCACAUGGCCAUGCGCUGUCCCCCUCUGCUGGGGCGUGGCUCUGCCAUCUGAGAGUAGGAUUAGGAAACCAUGGAGAGCAGCUCACAGGGAGGCUGGGGAGGGAAACUGCUGUGGGCCAGAACGAAAGGAGGGAGGAAAGGCGGAACAAGAUCCCAGGAGGGAGCGGCCUCGCCUGGGGAUCUGGCUGCCAUUCUGCCAACGACUCAUCUGUGACUUCCCCUCCAGGUCUCCAUCUCCUGACUGUCGAUGGGGUUAGACGAGGUGGCCUGUACGCCAACAUCCAGCCGGAGGAUUUCAGAUUCUCCCUGGGGGCUGGUUUCUGAAACUGUGCUCAUCUCUCAUGCACCAGGAAGGAAACCAGGGCUGACAAGCAGGAGGCACAUGGCAGCAGUGGUGCCCAGGUCUUCUCUCCUUGGCAGCCACUGGGUGAAUGACUCCUGGAGCCUGGCACAUUCCCAAGGAGUUGUGUGAACUUCAGCACAGAUAUGCAGGAUCCAGGGCUCUGAAUGAUUGGGGUGGGGUAGGCAGGUCAGCUCUAAUUUUACCACAUUAUAUCUCACAGGACAUUUAAGAACCAGCAGACCAUACCAGGCACGGUGGUGCAGACUGGCAGUCUCAGCUGCUCGGGAGGCUGAGGCAGGAGGAUCGAGAGUUCAAAGCCAGCCUCAGCAAUGGCAAGGCACUAAGCAACUCAGUGAGACCCUGUCUCUAAAUAAAAUACAAAAUAGGGCUGGGAAAGUGGCUCAGUGGUCGAGGGCCCCUGAGUUCAAUCUCCGGUACCAAAAACAAACAAACAAACAAACAAAAAACAGCAGACCAGAUUGGAACAUUUAUGUUAACAACUUUAUAGACCAGCCCCAAAUUGUGUUGCACACCACCUAGAGAGCCUCUUGAUUAUUUCAUAAUUUAUUCCACAUUUAUUAAGAUCUGAUAUUGUUCAGCACUGGACCAAGUACAGGAAGUAGAGAUGGCUAGAAUCCAUUCCUUGCUCUCCAGCAAUUCCCAACAGACCUGCUAUAGCACCCCAGGAUGCCCAGAAUCAGAGCAUCAUUAGUCCAAAUGGAACCUGUUGUGCAAAUUAGGAAAAUGUAUCCUUUCUGAUCAGAUGCAGUCCUGGGGGCACAUAGUCUAGCAAGCACUGAUUUCCAUUCCCCUUUAGCUGAGCACCAUAGUGCAGUUAACAAUCUGUGCAACUGAUCUUGGUGAUCACAGUGGGCUGCCAAAUUUCAGUCCAAGCCUAGUAUAUAUUUAUUUUUCUAAUAGAAUAUGCAUGUUAGUUGAUGUCAGUGCAAAGCAGCACAGACCCAAAUGAGUCACCUGACAGUGGAGAACAGGCACACUGGCUAUGAGAGGAUAUUAGAAAUAUAAUAACUGGCCGACUUGGUGUUUAUUGGAAUAUAACAAAAUGGAACACGUGAGAUAUACCAGAGCACAUAUUCGGAACAGAAAACCAGUGUUAAAGGGAGAACAAGGCAUAGCACAGCAACCACGAUACUUUAUAGUCACUGUGAGACCCCGUUACACUGCGGCAGUAAUUGCAUUGUAAUUAUUCCUGACUUGUUUAAUGUGUUUUUAGUAUUUUAAGGCCUUUGAGUGUGCCACAAAAAAAAAAUAUUAAAGUAAACAUCUACAAAAAAGAUUGGGAACCAUCCAUCUCGUGGAAAGGGGGGGUGUAUAAAAUAAUUUCCACUCCACAAUUAAGUUCUUCUUGGAGAUGUGAGAUUCAAAGAGCUACCUAGAGAGGCCAAGGAAAGUUUCCAAACGAGGUGAUAACUGAAGCAAAUUUUGCAAUGGAGUAGGAGUUGGGGGGAAGGGCAUCGCAAGCCCCCAGAGCCAAUUGGACGAAUGUGCAGAAAAAUGAACAGGCUUUACAUAUCGAAUGGCAAGCUGUGGUGUGGACUGAAGAGGAAGUGGAAAGAGCGUCAAGAGGUGAGAGAGAAGCCAGCUCACAAAAGAACACUGGCAAGACUGGCUCUCAUCAUCUGCCUCCCCCAAAUCCAUCCCCAGAGUGUGCAGAGGCACGCACCGCAGAGCUGUCCUGGGUUGUCUGUGAGGGAAUGCCGCACGUCUCAUUCUUUUAACUGGAGUGGGAAACGCGUAACACUAACCAAGAAUUUGUUAAGCAAUGCCAAGACCAGGAUCUGCUGAACAAACCACAUUCAGAGUAGUUACUCAGUGAGAAAUGAAAAGAUGGAGCCUCUUUUUGUUCAAAAAUCAUCAGGAAUUUCAAGAUGGCAACAGAAAAAUGUUCAGUGGAGAGCCAGACCCACCUGUGGGUAGGUCCCUGUGGGACGGCACAGGAUGCACACCUGGGAAGCCAGCACUGCCUAAAGUUAAGGGACCCAGGAGGCUUUACUAGAACAUCUCAUCUCUAUUGGAAUGGGAUUUAUUUAUUUGGUUCUCCUGGGAAAGAACCAGGCUGUGAAGUCCUUUACACAGAAUGUCAAGGGAGCCUGGCAAGCAGUGGGACAUUUGAGCAAGGCUUUCGACACUGCUGAUAAGAUCAAUAAUUAUUUCAAGCACUAAUUAGUGUAACUAAUGUUCUUGGUGUCAUUGGAAGUGUGCCUCAGAGCAGCUGAAAAACUCUUGCUUCUGGUGUAACAGCUGUCUCCUGGGAAUGAGACUGAGAUUGUGAUUCCACAAUCAGUUCUUUCCUUUUAAUCACCUUGCAAAAACAAGCAGCCUCGGCCAUCAAGUUCAUGGUUAAAUACAGGUUGAAAAUUGAAGCUAGUCGUCAUUGAUCAAUAUUUAAUAUCUGGUAAUUUCUCAGUCCUUCCAGAAGAAGAAAAGGUGCCAGCCAGAGGCUAUCUACCCAUAUUUCUAAGAUGCAUGAUGAAGCCAAGGCCAGUCUCGUCUCUGCACAAGGGCAGAAACGAUCUUGGGAGGCAUUUCUCCCCCACUUUAAAGAUGAAUAAACCAGUUGAGUCGGACAA